rnacentral:lncRNA from 1 species
AUGCCCAAUGCCACCGGAACGCUCUGCCCACUCGGUGGCCCCACCCAUCGCCGCCCCGCCCCCGCUUCAACCACCAAUGGUCGCCGCCCGCUGCUCCCGAGGGGCUCGUUGAUUGGACAGUGGAGCCUGCCACUCUCGCGGGGCCUCCCGCCCUCCCUCACUCCCCGCUGGGGCUGGAGGGGCUGGAGCAUCAGCGCGAGUAGCUCGGAGCAGCCGCGGCAGCGGCGGCGCGUCGUUGCAGUUGCGCCAUCUGUCAGGAGCGGAGCCGGCGGGGAGGGGGCUGCCGCGGGAGAGGAGGAGGGGUCGCCGCGAGCCGAAGGCCGCCGAGACCCGCCCGCCAACCGGCCGAGGGAGCAGAAGAGAGGCUGCCCUCGGAGCCGCGCGUCCAUCACCGCCCGGGCGCGCGGCGCUUCACCCCGCGCACCGAGGGCUCCCCAGGCGCACACAAAGCCGCCGCCCGCGCCUGGGAGGGAUCCAGUCGCCGGGCCGGGGACACCCGGCGCCGCCCCCUGGGCACUCUCAGAAGGCCCACCGGCUCCCGGGCCCGCCGAGCAACCACCGGAGCCGCUUCGGCCGCGCCGGAGGAGGCGGGGAGUGGACCAUGUGAAUGGGCUCCGGAGCCUGAGCGCAGCGCAGGACCAGUCCAGCAGCUGUAUUAGAAGACAUGUGGUAUAUAUAAAGUUUGUGAUCGUUGGGGGAAAUUUUGGGAGGCCAUUGUGA